rnacentral:rRNA from 1 species
AUACGAAGGGGGCUAGCGCUGUUCGGAAUCACUGGGCGUAAAGCGCGCGUAGGUGGACUAAUCAGUUGAGGGUGAAAUCCCGGGGCUCAACCUCGGAACUGCCUUCAAUACUGUUAGUCUUGAGACCGAGAGAGGUGAGUGGAAUUCCUAGUGUAGAGGUGAAAUUCGUAGAUAUUAGGAAGAACACCAGUGGCGAAGGCGGCUCACUGGCUCGGUACUGACGCUGAGGUGCGAAAGCGUGGGGAGCAAACAGGAUUAGAUACCCUAGUAGUCC